AACGAACGCUGGCGGCAUGCCUAACACAUGCAAGUCGAACGAGUGCCUUCGGGUGCUAGUGGCGCACGGGUGCGUAACGCGUGGGAAUCUGCCCUUUGGUUCGGAAUAACGGUUGGAAACGACUGCUAAUACCGGAUGAUGACGAAAGUCCAAAGAUUUAUCGCCAGAGGAUGAGCCCGCGUAGGAUUAGCUAGUUGGUG
rnacentral:rRNA from 1 species